AUUGAACGCUGGCGGCAGGCUUAACACAUGCAAGUCGAGCGAGUGGCGGACGGGUGAGUAAUGUCUGGGAAACUGCCCGAUGGAGGGGGAUAACUACUGGAAACGGUAGCUAAUACCGCAUACCAUCGGAUGUGCCCAGAUGGGAUUAGCUAGUAGGUGGGGUAACGGCUCACCUAGGCGACGAUACCUAGCUGGUCUGCGAGGAUGACCAGCCACACUGGAACUGAGACGAGGUCCAGACUCCUACGGGAGGCAGCAGUGGGGGAAAUUGCACAAAGGGAGCAAGCCUGAUGCAGCCGUGCCGCGUGUGUGGAGAAGGCCUUCGGGUUGUAAAGUACUUUCAGCGAGGAGGCGUUACUCGCAGAAGAAGCACCGGCUAACUCCGUGCCAGCCGCCGCGGUAAUAC
rnacentral:rRNA from 1 species